rnacentral:rRNA from 1 species
GUGUCAGCAGCCGCGGUAACACGGGGGGAGCAAGCGUUGUUCGGAAUCACUGGGCGUAAAGGGCGUGUAGGCGGUCAGAUAAGUGGAAUGUGAAAUGCCCCGGCUCACCCGGGGACCGGCAUCCCAAACUGUCUGGCUUGAGUAUGGGAGAGGAUGAGGGAAUUCCUGGUGUAGCGGUGAAAUGCGUAGAUAUCAGGAGGAACACCGGUGGCGAAGGCGCUCAUCUGGCCCAAUACUGACGCUGAUGCGCGAAAGCUAGGGGAGCAAACGGGAUUAGAUACCCUGGUAGUCC